GAUGAACGCUGGCGGCGUGCUUAACACAUGCAAGUCGAACGGUGAAGCUCCAGCUUGCUGGCGUGGAUCAGUGGCGAACGGGUGAGUAACACGUGAGCAACCUGCCCCUGACUCUGGGAUAACAGCCGGAAACGGCUGCUAAUACCGGAUAUGCACCAUGAACGCAUGUUCUGUGGUGGGAAAGAUUUUUCGGUUGGGGAUGGGCUCGCGGCCUAUCAGCUUGUUGGUGAGGUAAUGGCUCACCAAGGCGUCGACGGGUAGCCGGCCUGAGAGGGUGACCGGCCACGCUGGGACUGAGACACGGCCCGGACUCCUACGGGAGGCAGCAGUGGGGAAUAUUGCACAAUGGGCGAAAGCCUGAUGCAGCACCGCCGCGUGAGGGAUGACGGCCUUCGGGUUGUAAACCUCUUUUGGCAGGGAAGAAGCGAGAGUGACGGUACCUGAAGAAAAAGCGCCGGCUAACUACGUG
rnacentral:rRNA from 1 species